rnacentral:rRNA from 1 species
GACGAACGCUGGCGGCGUGCUUAACACAUGCAAGUCGUACGGUAAGGCCCUUUCGGGGGUACACGGGUGGCGCACGGGUGAGUAACACGUGAGUAACCUGCCCACAACUUUGGGAUAACGCUAGGAAACUGGUGCUAAUACUGGAUAUGUGCUCCUGCUGCAUGGUGGGGGUUGGAAAGCUCCGGCGGUUGUGGAUGGACUCGCGGCCUAUCAGCUUGUUGGUGGGGUAGUGGCCUACCAAGGCGGCGACGGGUAGCCGGCCUGAGAGGGUGACCGGCCACAUUGGGACUGAGAUACGGCCCAGACUCCUACGGGAGGCAGCAGUGGGGAAUAUUGCACAAUGGGCGCAAGCCUGAUGCAGCAACGCCGCGUGCGGGAUGACGGCCUUCGGGUUGUAAACCGCUUUCAGCAGGGACGAAGCUUUUUGUGACGGUACCUGCAGAAGAAGCACCGGCUAACUACGUG